GGUCGCGAGGACUCGAUUGCGGGAAGAAGGCUCGAAAUAUCGCACAUUCUGGCAAACCUUGAACACCGUGUGGACGGAAGAGGGCACGAAGGGUCUCUACCGCGGUCUUGGCACUCAGCUGAUCCGGCAGAUUCCGAACACUGCUAUUAUAAUGGCAACAUACGAGGCGGUAGUAUACGUGCUGACCCGACACUUCCGGCCGGUUACGGUGACGACCUCCAGCACCGAUGUGACAUCGGAAUUCUACAACGAGGCUAAAGCGAAGAGAGAGCUGGCCUAGGACUUGCUUACGGCCCCCGAGUAAAGGGAGCCACCUAUCCAACAACUAUUUCCCCUUGUCCAGUAGGCGAAUACUCCACGUAUUCGGGGCAGCGUCCUAAGAUCUAAUCGCACAUCUAAGGCACAUCGAGAGCAGCUGGAAACGCAUUCGAUGCCCUAAUUGUUGCUCCAGGGGGUACUCAAAAAGAUAGCAUGUACAUAUCCAGGCACGGACCCGCUGUAUAUCUCGCAGGGAGAAAAAGAUAGAGAGAGAGAGAGAAAGAGGGGUGAGGGAGUGAAAAGGGGAAUUGCAGGAAAGCGGAUUUUGUUUAGCGUCGGAUAGACAAAGGCUGAGACUUCGCUUCUCGUUCGCGAAAAUGUGGACGUGCAUGAAUAUCGCGAGAAAUGAGCUUGUAUUGUGUGUUAUAAGAUUUAUUUAAAGUAAGAUUAUUUUCUGCUCCAGAAACAAAAUUCACUCCAAAUCUAAAACGUGUGAGGCUCGUAAUAGUCACUGUAGACUUUAGUCUCUGACCUAAGGAUUAUUUUGAUUCUGAUACUGUUCUCUGUUCUACGAUUUGCAGUUUUUUCUUGCAUCUCGUUCCUUUCUUUCGCUUUUUGUUUAUAAGACAAAAUUAAAAGGAAAACAAAAGACGUAAAAUCAGACUUUGGAAUGGAUCAUAUUUGUUGCUAUACAAUGCAUCGAGAGCAGCAAAUGUAAGAUGUACAGCGACUUCUGAGUUUGUGAAUUAUGCCAGGCGUUUCGAUUUUUCAUUUGUUUAAAAAAAUUGUUUUCUAGAAAUCGAUUAUUUUAACUGGUUUUGUAGUCGUAAAUAGAUCCACUCCUCUUAAAAACUUCGACACUUCUACUUUAGGGCUCUAGUAAAAAUCCAUGUUAUACGUUUGUAAAUUUGUGAUAAAUAUUUCAAUAUGUAUUGAAUUUUAUGAUAGAAUAUUUUUUUUUCUUUAUAUAUGUCGAUUAAAUUUUAAGUGAUGAAUGUAGGGCUUUGAACAACAAUGCUAAAAAUAUAUGAACUACUCUUUAUUUUGAUAUUAGUAUGUCCAAGAAACGUUACCAGAAAUAAUACAUAUACCAGAAAAAUUAUUAAAUAUUAUGACUAAAUGAUCUAUGUCUAUAAUUUCUUAUAAGUUUGUUUAUAUAUUUGUUGUGUUGACAUUCUGUUACAUUUGAAUUAUGUACGAGGCAGUUUCAAAAAAACUCCGGAAUUGGCUGAUAUUAUAUUUGUAAUUGAACAAUAUGUAUAUUUGAAUUUUAAUCCUAUAGAAAUAUGAGAUAUUAGUAGCAAGCAGCGUGAUGACAGCAAUAAAAACAAAUUCAUUGUACUGGAAGGAUUAGUGUUUUUGCUGCUGACAUAUAGAAUUCAUAGCUUUUUUCGCAAAAUGACUCGCGGGAAUACGAUCAAUAGCUUUGCAGAAGUGCAUAAUUAUAUACAGGAAAAGUAGAAAAUUCUCUUUGAAAAAAAUAGCAGCAAAAAUAGAAGCAUAAUUCUCGAAUACAAAAUUUUCUUUUGUAGUGACAAUGUAGCGAAUAAUGAUUAAGUGUUUUGUAUUCUAGAAAAAUGAAAAAAAUUCCAGAAACCUUUGAAACUACCUCCUACACUUUAUAAAGUUUUAUAAAAAGUUUUCCAAUAAAUUUAAUUUCACUUUAUUAUAUCGAAUUCUGUUUGAUCUGUAUUUGUUAUUUUACCGUAAUUUUACUAUAUUUCCUUGUACGUUUCAACAACCAAACAACCACCGUUUCGUUCGAUCUUGUAGAUUUCCUCGCCGAUAUCUCGCUACUGUGCUUGCGAUAAAAUGCAAUUAGUUCUUAAUAAACGUUUGAUAUACGUUUGAACUUACUCUUAGAGACAAAAGCAACAGUGUGUCAAUGUGUAGAAUACCUGUCGGAGGACACUAGCGCGUGUGUUAGGCUGAGGCUAGAUUCUGAUAGUUUCUACUUUAUUUAUGUAGAAAGAUAUCGCGACGUUGUGUACAUAUCGACUCAUAGGCUCUAGCUGUACACUUACGAGAGAGAGCGUUCAUAUAUUAAAUUAAUUAGCCAUAUGUAACAUCGCAUGAUGUGCGGUAUCUAGCAAGAGGACUAAAAAGAAGUAUUACAAGAAUAUGAAAUAGUUAACAACUCUUCACUAUUUGUUUCUUGGACUAUCCCGGGACGUGAUUAUUUUUGUGCAAAGGUACUAAA